rnacentral:lncRNA from 1 species
AUGGUAGGGCGCCGUGGAACUCCCACGCAGGAGAAGAGAAGCGGACUGGACAGAGCCCCGCAGAGUGCUUGUUCCUUGAUCCACUUGCCCGUUUCCCUCGUAAUUACAAGUUCAAGUCUGAUACAUCGGAUCAGGAGGUCCCGCCGCCCAGGCAGGUGGAUGUUCCAGGGUUCACUUGGUGGCAGCUCUACAGAACUGAUUAAAACAAGGGCCGGAGGAGAGCAGACACAUUACUGCAGAGCUGGCCCAUUUCAGCUGCCAAGGAGUGAAGCGCUUGCAGGCGGUUGUGCGCCAUUCUCCUGGACCCCCGUGCCCAUGGCUCCUGCAUCCGGAGAGCCUCUUUUCACUAUUGCUGAGGCCUCAGGGGCUGUGAGAAGUGAAGGCUUUCGGACACUCACCACCCCUCCCCUUCCUUCUCCUGUGGCGUCCAACACCGUCAGACACCCAGGAUCCCACUGGAGGCAGGACAGCGUGAAGACUGACUACAGCAGUUCGCGUGGUGUAAAGGGUCGGGGUCCUUCAACAGUGACAGAAAUGCCAACUGGAACAAAGCAAGAGUGGUCCAAAGAAGAGAGAGGAAUAUUUCAGCUGCCUGGGGCACGUGCUGGCAGAUUGCUAGGAGACAAAAGGACGCGAAAGUGCAGAAGGCAGCCUGCCUUCACCCGGCAUCCAGCCCUGACCUCUUAUUUCACUCUGAUCGUCUCUGUGACCAAGUAUAAUUACUCUUCAAUGCUUACAUCUGCUGCUGACAUUGGGUUUCCAUGACAGAAAAUCCCAGAGAGUCAACAGAGGACCUGACAGGCACGCCUUCUUGCUGUCAUGGAAACGACCACUGGAUCUGCCUGCAUGAUCUGUGCACUGGGGACCGCUCUCCUAAGAGUCACCUGCCCAGCCCCACAGGAGCGUGGGCUGUCCUCUCCUGGCUGGGAUUUCCAUCUCUCUGGGUCAGCCGCCUGGGAGGGAGAGGAACUCCCACAAAGACAAGCACCCAUACGCUUGGGUAAAGAUGGCUGCUCCCCCACAGACACUCUCACUUUCCAAAUUUGAUUCCUCUAAUUCAGUGCUGAGCUUGUAGGAGGUUUUAAUAAAUGGUCAGUGUCCUUUCUUGAAAACCCAACA